rnacentral:rRNA from 1 species
GUAGGGAAUAUUGGACAAUGGGGGGAACCCUGAUCCAGCCAUGCCGCGUGGAGGAAGACUGCCCUCUGGGUUGUAAACUCCUUUUAUAUGGGAAGAACCGUCCUCAUUAAUGAGUGACCUGACGGUACCAUAGGAAUAAGCACCGGCUAACUCCGUGCCAGCAGCCGCGGUAAUACGGAGGGUGCAAGCGUUAUCCGGAUUCACUGGGUUUAAAGGGUGCGUAGGCGGAUAAAUAAGUCAGUGGUGAAAUCAACGAGCUCAACCUGUUAACUGCCAUUGAUACUGUGUAUCUUGAAUAUGAGAGAGGUAGGCGGAAUGUUGCAUGUAGCGGUGAAAUGCUUAGAUAUGCUACGGAACACCGAUUGCGAAGGCAGCUUACUAUUUCGUAAUUGACGCUGAGGCACGAAAGCGUGGGUAGCGAACAGGAUUAGAAACCCCAGUAGUCC